rnacentral:lncRNA from 1 species
GCAGUAAAGGGCCUCUAGCGGUCAACAGUCGCACUAUAUACACAUUUCUUCCCAGCUGCUCUUGGUGAAAGUACUAUACGACAAAAUGGGAAAUGUGCAUCUAUACCGGUGAUUAAUGAAGGAAGCAACAAUCUGAAUACCACAAGCUACCGACAACAAUGAACAUCAACAGCAGCAGCGAUAUUCUCAGAAAUGAUUGACAUGAGAACACAAUAAAAAAUAACAUCAUUUCUUGUAAAAUAAUUAUAUAAAAUGUAUUUAGAAAGAGUUCCUACAAAUCAGAUUGUAAUUUUGUAAUUUUACAAUAAUUUUAUUCUGUCGUUUGAUCGAUAGAACUAAAAUAACUCUUCUCAUAUGGCAAUUGGAAAUGACGAUCAAAAGUUGUAUUCAUGGUGCGCGACGCGGUGGUGUGACGCAGCGUUUUACCGAUCAUUUUCGAAUCUUCACUCGUCAAUACAUAACUUUAAACGUUUGCUUUCAGUCAACUUCGUACGGUACUGUACGAACUCAGAUUUCUCAUCUUGCUGUGUAUACGCAUAUUUCUCCCGCUAAACCAAAGCACCAGAGAAGUAAAUGUGCAUAUAGUUCGAUCCUUUGACCGCUAGGGGGUGAUAAUUCGUGGAGUAUAUUUUUGGCUGAAUUCGUAAUUUCCCUAUUCAUCUUUGGUACUUACGUAAUUUGGAAAAUUUAUAACAUGAAGUAUUAAAUAGAGGAAAUGAGAGAGCUCACGUCCAUUGUUCUAGUUGUUCUACACUACAGAUGCUGCACCACGCGGCCAAGCACUGAA